UAUGGCCAAAUCACAUUGAAACACCAGUUUCCAUCCAAUCAUCUAAGUUAAGCAACAUUGAGCCUGGUCAGUACCUAGAUGGGUGACCAUUUGGGAAUACCAGAUGCUGUAA